AGUGAACGCUGGCGGUAGGCCUAACACAUGCAAGUCGAACGGCAGCACAGUAAGAGCUUGCUCUUACGGGUGGCGAGUGGCGGACGGGUGAGGAAUACAUCGGAAUCUACUUUUUCGUGGGGGAUAACGUAGGGAAACUUACGCUAAUACCGCAUGCGACCUACGGGUGAAAGCAGGGGAUCUUCGGACCUUGCGCGAUUGAAUGAGCCGAUGUCGGAUUAGCUAGUUGGCGGGGUAAAGGCCCACCAAGGCGACGAUCCGUAGCUGGUCUGAGAGGAUGAUCAGCCACACUGGAACUGAGACACGGUCCAGACUCCUACGGGAGGCAGCAGUGGGGAAUAUUGGACAAUGGGCGCAAGCCUGAUCCAGCCAUACCGCGUGGGUGAAGAAGGCCUUCGGGUUGUAAAGCCCUUUUGUUGGGAAAGAAAAGCAGCAGGUUAAUACCCCGCUGUUCUGACGGUACCCAAAGAAUAAGCACCGGCUAACUUCAUG
rnacentral:rRNA from 1 species